ACUUUUCUUCUUCAUUGUUCUUCCUCUCUUCUGUUUCUCAAAUCUGAUUUUUCAUUGCUUCCAACCAAUUUCCAGCAAUUUUCAACUUUCGAAUCUCAACUUAUCAAGCAACAAUUUUCUCUCUUUUUCAGAUGGGUCAUAGAUUGGAAGAAAUCAAAUCAGUAACAAGGCUUUUUUUUAUUUUUUCUAACGUAUAGCUCAUUUGUUGCAGUAGAUAGGGCAUCUGUUACAGUAGAUGAUCCAUCUAUCGCAACAGACAAGUCAUCUAUUGAAAGAAAUCAAAUUAGUAGACUAUUUUGAUUUCUUACAACAGAUGAAUUGUUUGUUGCAAUAGAUGAUCUAUUUGUUAUAACAUAUUGUAUUAUUAAUUGAUGAUUGUAUUAUGUUGUAUUUAUUAAAUUUAUUGUUAUUUUUUUAA